GAUGAACACUGGCGGCGUGCCUAAUACAUGCAAGUCGAGCGAACGGACGAGAAGCUUGCUUCUCUGAUGUUAGCGGCGGACGGGUGAGUAACACGUGGAUAACCUACCUAUAAGACUGGGAUAACUUCGGGAAACCGUAGCUAAUACCGGAUAAUAUUUUGAACCGCAUGGUUCAAAAGUGAAAGACGGUCUUGCUGUCACUUAUAGAUGGAUCCGCGCUGCAUUAGCUAGUUGGUAAGGUAACGGCUUACCAAGGCAACGAUGCAUAGCCGACCUGAGAGGGUGAUCGGCCACACUGGAACUGAGACACGGUCCAGACUCCUACGGGAGGCAGCAGUAGGGAAUCUUCCGCAAUGGGCGAAAGCCUGACGGAGCAACGCCGCGUGAGUGAUGAAGGUCUUCGGAUCGUAAAACUCUGUUAUUAGGGAAGAACAUAUGUGCAAGUAACUGUGCACAUCUUGACGGUACCUAAUCAGAAAGCCACGGCUAACUACGUG
rnacentral:rRNA from 1 species